rnacentral:rRNA from 1 species
UGGGGAAUAUUGGGGCAAUGGGGGAAAGCCCAUGACCCCACGCAACGCCAGCGCUGAAGGAAGAAAGGGACAUUUCGGGGUUUGGUAAACAUCUUUUAUCCACGGAGCGAAGGACGUGACGGUACCUGGAGAAAAAGCAACGGCUAACUACGUGCCAGCAGCCGCGGUAAUACGUAGGUUGCAAGCGUUGUCCGGAUUUACUGGGUGUAAAGGGCGUGUAGGCGGAGAAGCAAGUUGGGAGUGAAAUCCAUGGGCUCAACCCAUGAACUGCUCUCAAAACUGUUUCCCUUGAGUAUCGGAGAGGCAAGCGGAAUUCCUAGUGUAGCGGUGAAAUGCGUAGAUAUUAGGAGGAACACCAGUGGCGAAGGCGGCUUGCUGGACGACAACUGACGCUGAGGCGCGAAAGCGUGGGGAGCAAACAGGAUUAGAUACC